UACGUAGGGGGCAAGCGUUGUCCGGAUUUAUUGGGCGUAAAGAGCGUGUAGGCGGCCAGACAGGUCAGCUGUGAAAACUCGAGGCUCAACCUCGAGACGUCGGUUGAAACCGUCUGGCUAGAGUCCGGAAGAGGAGAGUGGAAUUCCCGGUGUAGCGGUGAAAUGCGCAGAUAUCGGGAAGAACACCCGUGGCGAAGGCGGCUCUCUGGGACGGUACUGACGCUGAGACGCGAAAAGCGUGGGGGAGCCGAACAGGG
rnacentral:rRNA from 1 species